GGUAAAAUGGCUGAGCCAAUAAGUAGUAAAUUGUAAAUUUAUAAACGAAUAAUUAUUCUUUUACCAG
rnacentral:tRNA from 1 species